GAUGAAGACGUAGCGAAAUGCGAUAAGUAAUGUGAAUUGCAGAAUUCAGUGAAUCAUCGAAUCUUUGAACGCACAUUGCGCCCGCCAGCAUUCUGGCGGGCAUGCCUGUUCGAGCGUCAUUUCAACCCUCGAGCCCCCCCGGGGGCCUCGGUGUUGGGGGACGGCACACCAGCCGCCCCCGAAAUGCAGUGGCGACCCCGCCGCAGCCUCCCCUGCGUAGUAGCACACACCUCGCACCGGAGCGCGGAGGCGGUCACGCCGUAAAACGCCCAACUUUCUUAGAGUUGACCUCGGAUCAGGUAGGAAUACCCGCUGAACUUAAGCAUAUCGAUAAGCGGAGGA
rnacentral:misc_RNA from 1 species